CGAGCAAAGGGCUGUCACUACAGGCGACGAAGAAGAAGAGCGCCGGUUAAAAACAGAGCGCGCGCCUCUGGCGGCAAUCUUUUCUGGGGAGGACUGUGGAAGUUGCGGAGGUGCGAGUGGAUGCAGAAACAUGUCUUCGGACGAUUCCCUGAGAAAGAAUAUCGGCCGCAUCUUGACUCCUGCCUUUGACGACAUAUCCUCGCUGUGUGGUGGAGCCUUCGCUAAAUAUGAGGAGGAGCUGAAACGCCAACGCGCCCUGCUGGACAUCGCCCUAAAACCCCAAGAAAACCAACCCAAAAUACUUCUGCCUCAGUAUCAUCUGACGGAGCAGGACAGGAACCCCAAUGUGACGCUGGCCAAAGCAGAACCUCCAGAGCCAAAGUGAACUCGCAGGACGUCCACAUCAACCUGCUGUGCAAACCUCAGAAUCGGUUUUUAUGAUUCAGGCAGCUGAAUGUCACUUCAUCCCUUCUAUGGUCAAAUGUUGUUGUUUUUAAAUUAUUUUGUUGGUAAUUUAACACAUUUCUGACUGAAUCUUGUUGUGUUCUUUGCAAAAGCUACAAUAAAAAAGGAAAACUGAGUUUAUA